rnacentral:rRNA from 1 species
GAUGAACGCUGGCGGCGUGCUUAACACAUGCAAGUCGAACGGAAAGGCCGAAGCUUGCUUCGGUACUCGAGUGGCGAACGGGUGAGUAACACGUGGGUGAUCUGCCCUGUACUUCGGGAUAAGCUUGGGAAACUGGGUCUAAUACCGGAUAUGACGAUCUCUUGGAUGGGGUUGUGGAAAGCUUUUGCGGUAUGGGAUGAGCUCGCGGCCUAUCAGCUUGUUGGUGGGGUAAUGGCCUACCAAGGCGUCGACGGGUAGCCGGCCUGAGAGGGUGUACGGCCACAUUGGGACUGAGAUACGGCCCAGACUCCUACGGGAGGCAGCAGUGAGGAAUAUUGCACAAUGGGCGCAAGCCUGAUGCAGCGACGCCGCGUGGGGGAUGACGGCCUUCGGGUUGUAAACUCCUUUCGCAAUCGACGAAGCCUUUUGGUGACGGUAGGUUGAGAAGAAGCACCGGCUAACUACGUG